UUGGUACUCCCUCCGUUCCAAAUUACUUGUCAUAAAAAUGGAUGUAUCUAGAACUAAAAUACAUCUAGAUACAUCCAUAUCUGCGACAAGUAAUUCGGAACGAAGGGAGUACUUC
rnacentral:pre_miRNA from 1 species